rnacentral:pre_miRNA from 1 species
CUUAUACUCCCUCCGUCCGGAAAUACUUGUCAUUAAAAUGAAUGUAUCUAGAUGUAUUUUAAUUCUAGAUACAUCCAUUUUCAUCCAUUUAUGCAACAAGUAUUUCCGGACGGAGGGAGUAUUUA